CAGACAUACUGUAAGUGGUUCCUAAACACUAUUUGCAAAUGAGGAAGGUGAGCCUUCGGCACCUUAGUCACAGUGAUCAGUCCAGGCUGACACACUUGUGGGUGGCCAAAAGGCUACACCUACAAAUGGCCAAGAGCCUUUACUUGAUAGCUCAUAGAGUCUCACGCUAAACUUGAAUCAGAGAUUGAUUCUGCAAGGCGACUGCGCCUUAGAGUUCGGGAAGGAAACAAGUUUUUUGUUGGAUCCACCACAACUUGAGUGAUUAUGAAUACCUUUAAGCAACUGAUAUACCCUGUGGGUAUUACAUGGAAGACUAUCCCAUAGGAUACCAAGGAUGUUUACUAGGAAGAAUUCAAGAAAAAAUAUUGGUAGACUACUACUGAGGAACUAAGGGUAAAGGCUUGCUGGCAAUCAAAGGCUGCUAAAUGGUACAAGGACAUGGUAUCUGAUUUCAAGGCGAAGAGAAAAAGGUCCCAUUGGGAGGACCCUUCCGUCAUUCGAUGAUCUGAGACUAAUUCGAGAAACCGCCG